GCACUCUGUGUGGGGAACAUGAGAGCCAGACCAAAGCUCAGAGGAACCAGCCUGGACCUCCACCCAGCUCUGUGUCUUAUGAAAGUAACUCAGUCAAAGAUGUCAUUAAGAGAUUUGAGCAAAGACAGUCAGCUGAGAAAAGGAUCCAUCAGAGACUCAAACCUGGACCUCCACCCAGCUCUGUGUCCUUACAGAGUGACGGGUCUGAAGAUCGUCUCAUUAAUUUUAA